rnacentral:rRNA from 1 species
GACGAACGCUGGCGGCGUGCUUAACACAUGCAAGUCAAGCGGUAAGGCCCUUUCGGGGGUACACGAGCGGCGAACGGGUGAGUAACACGUGGGUGACCUGCCCUCAGCUCUGGGAUAAGCCUGGGAAACCGGGUCUAAUACCGGAUAUGACUCCAUGACGCAUGUUGUGGGGUGGAAAGCCUUGUGCGGCUGAGGAUGGGCCCGCGGCCUAUCAGCUUGUUGGUGGGGUGAUGGCCUACCAAGGCGACGACGGGUAGCCGGCCUGAGAGGGCGACCGGCCACACUGGGACUGAGACACGGCCCAGACUCCUACGGGAGGCAGCAGUGGGGAAUCUUGCGCAAUGGGCGAAAGCCUGACGCAGCGACGCCGCGUGAGGGAUGACGG